rnacentral:rRNA from 1 species
GAUGAACGCUAGCGGCAGGCUUAAUACAUGCAAGUCGAGGGGCAGCAUGAUUGUAGCAAUACAAUUGAUGGCGACCGGCAAACGGGUGCGGAACACGUACACAACCUUCCAAUAAGUGGGGAAUAGCCCAGAGAAAUUUGGAUUAAUACCCCGUAACAUAACGAUGUGGCAUCACAUUGUUAUUAUAGAUUUUUCGCUUAUUGAUGGGUGUGCGGCUGAUUAGAUAGUUGGCGGGGUAACGGCCCACCAAGUCUACGAUCAGUAGCUGAUGUGAGAGCAUGAUCAGCCAAACGGGCACUGAGACACGGGCCCGACUCCUACGGGAGGCAGCAGUAAGGAAUAUUGGACAAUGGACGCAAGUCUGAUCCAGCCAUGCCGCGUGAAGGAUUAAGGUCCUCUGGAUUGUAAACUUCUUUUAUAAGGGACGAAAAAAGGCUUUUCUAAGUCGUCUGACGGUACCUUAUGAAUAAGCACCGGCUAACUCCGUGCCAGCCGCCGCGGUAAGAC